AGGGUUGUAGCUCAGUGGUGAAGUGCUUGCCUGGCACGUAUGAGGCCCUGGGUUUAAUCCUCAGCACCCCAU
rnacentral:tRNA from 1 species